rnacentral:rRNA from 1 species
UACGUAGGUGGCAAGCGUUGUCCGGAUUUAUUGGGUUUAAAGGGUGCGUAGGCGGCCUAUUAAGUCAGUGCUGAAAUAUCCCGGCUUAACCGGGAGGGUGGCAUUGAUACUGAUGGGCUUGAGUAGAGUUGAGGUUGGCGGAAUUGACGGUGUAGCAGUGAAAUGCGUAGAUAUUGGGAGGAACACCAGUGGCGAAGGCGGCUCACUGGACCGGAACUGACGCUGAGGCGCGAAAGCGUGGGGAGCAAACAGG